rnacentral:lncRNA from 1 species
UGUUUUAAUUUUUUUAAUUUUUUUUAUAAUAUGUAGGUCAUGCAAGGGGGCAAAUCCAUACUUAAGAAGCUAAGACCAUUGGAUUAUGGGCCAACAAAAUACGUUACAUUUUAUAAUGACUGUAACAUAAAUAGUUUUAAAUUUUAUACCCAAUGAUAUGGAUAUCAUAAGACCACAAUGAACAGUGGUGUGUGUAUAAAGGGCAGCU